rnacentral:rRNA from 1 species
GACGAACGCUGGCGGCGUGCUUAACACAUGCCAGUCGAACGAUGAAGCCGGCGCUUGCUCUGGUGAAUUAGUGGCGAACGGGUGAGUAACACGUGAGUAACCUGCCCUUGACUCUGGGAUAACUGCGGGAAACUGUAGCUACUACCGGAUACGCUCCUCGGAGGCAUCUCCUGGGGGUGGAAAGAAUUUCGGUCAAGGAUGGACUCGCGGCCUACCAGCUAGUUGGUGAGGUAAUGGCUCACCAAGACGACGCCGGGUAGCCGGCCUGAGAGGGUGACCGGCCACACUGGGACUGAGACACGGCCCAGACUCCUACGGGAGGCAGCAGUGGGGAAGAUUGCACAAUGGGCGCAAGCCUGAUGCAGCAACGCCGCGUGAGGGAUGACGGCCUUCGGGUUGUAAACCUCUUUUAGUAGGGAAGAAGCGAAAGUGACGGUACCUGCAGAAAAAGCACCGGCUAACUACGUGCCAGCCGCCGCCGUAA